GAUGAACGCUGGCGACGUGCCUAAUACAUGCAAGUCGAGCGAACGGACGAGAAGCUUGCUUCUCUGAUGCUAGCGGCGGACGGGUGAGUAACACGUGGAUAACCUACCUAUAAGACUGGGAUAACUUCGGGAAACCGGAGCUAAUACCGGAUAAUAUUUUGAACCGCAUGGUUCAAAAGUAAAAGACGGUCUUGCUGUCACUUAUAGAUGGAUCCGCGCUGCAUUAGCUAGUUGGUAAGGUAACGGCUUACCAAGGCAACGAUGCAUAGCCGACCUGAGAGGGUGAUCGGCCACACUGGAACUGAGACACGGUCCAGACUCCUACGGGAGGCAGCAGUAGGGAAUCUUCCGCAAUGGGCGAAAGCCUGACGGAGCAACGCCGCGUGAGUGAUGAAGGUCUUCGGAUCGUAAAACUCUGUUAUUAGGGAAGAACAUAUGUGUAAGUAACUGUGCACAUCUUGACGGUACCUAAUCAGAAAGCCACGGCUAACUACGUG
rnacentral:rRNA from 1 species